CGCGGGAUAGAGCAGUUGGUAGCUCGUCGGGCUCAUAACCCGAAGGUCAUAGGUUCAAAUCCUGUCCCCGCUACCA
rnacentral:tRNA from 1 species